UUCACAAAGAAGGGUUGAUUGACACGUGUCACGUUCUGAUUAGACAUGAAAAGGUGUGCUCAAGAGUUAGUUCUAAUAUUUUAUGUUGACCGUCCAAUCAGAACGUGACACGUGAUCAUUAACGUUC
rfam:Glycine soja cultivar W05 scaffold1570_23, whole genome shotgun sequence.